GUGGGGAAUCUUGCGCAAUGGGCGAAAGCCUGACGCAGCCAUGCCGCGUGGAUGAUGAAGGUCUUAGGAUUGUAAAAUUCUUUCACCGGGGACGAUAAUGACGGUACCCGGAGAAGAAGCCCCGGCUAACUUCGUGCCAGCAGCCGCGGUAAUACGAAGGGGGCUAGCGUUGCUCGGAAUUACUGGGCGUAAAGGGCGCGUAGGCGGACAGUUUAGUCAGAGGUGAAAGCCCAGGGCUCAACCUUGGAAUUGCCUUUGAUACUGGCUGUCUUGAGUACGGGAGAGGUGAGUGGAACUCCGAGUGUAGAGGUGAAAUUCGUAGAUAUUCGGAAGAACACCAGUGGCGAAGGCGACUCACUGGCCCGUUACUGACGCUGAGGCGCGAAAGCGUGGGGAGCAAACAGGAUUAGAAACCCGGGUAGUCC
rnacentral:rRNA from 1 species